UACGUAGGGGGCGAGCGUUGUCCGGAAUUACUGGGCGUAAAGGGCGCGUAGGCGGCCACCGCAAGUCGACUGUGAAAUCUCCGGGCUUAACCCGGAAAGGUCAGCCGAUACUGCGGGGCUAGAGUGCAGAAGGGGCAACUGGAAUUCUCGGUGUAGCGGUGAAAUGCGUAGAUAUCGAGAGGAACACCUGCGGCGAAGGCGGGUUGCUGGGCUGACACUGACGCUGAUGUGCGAAAGCUAGGGGAGCGAACGGG
rnacentral:rRNA from 1 species